ACGCUGGCGGCAGGCCUAACACAUGCAAGUCGAGCGCGACCUUCGGGUUGAGCGGCGGACGGGUUAGUAACGCGUGGGAAUAUGCCCAAAGGUACGGAAUAGCCUCUGGAAACGGAGAGUAAUACCGUAUGUGCCCUUCGGGGGAAAGAUUUAUCGCCUUUGGAUUAGCCCGCGUUAGAUUAGGUAGUUGGUGGGGUAAUGGCCUACCAAGCCUACGAUCUAUAGCUGGUUUUAGAGGAUGAUCAGCAACACUGGGACUGAGACACGGCCCAGACUCCUACGGGAGGCAGCAGUGGGGAAUCUUGGACAAUGGGCGCAAGCCUGAUCCAGCCAUGCCGCGUGAGUGAUGAAGGCCUUAGGGUCGUAAAGCUCUUUCGCCAGGGAUGAUAAUGACAGUACCUGGUAAAGAAACCCCGGCUAACUCCGUGCCAGCAGCCGCGGUAAUACGGAGGGGGUUAGCGUUGUUCGGAAUUACUGGGCGUAAAGCGCGCGUAGGCGGAUCGGAAAGUUGGGGGUGAAAUCCCGGGGCUCAANCCCGGAACUGCCUCCAAAACUAUCGGUCUA
rnacentral:rRNA from 1 species